AACGAACGCUGGCGGCAUGCCUAACACAUGCAAGUCGAACGAAAAGUCCCGGCCUAGUGGCGCACGGGUGAAUGAGGCGGGGGAACCUGCCCUUAGGUUCCGAAUAACUCCCCGAAAGAGGUGCUAAUACCGGAUAAUCUCUUCGGGCCAAAGAUUUAUCGCCUUUGGAUGGGCCCGCGUUGGAUUAGCUAGUUGGUAGGGUAAAAGCCUGCCAAGGCGACGAUCCAUAGCUGGUCGGAGAGCAUGGUCAGCCACACUGGGACUGAGACACGGCCCAGACUCCUACGGGAGGCAGCAGUGGGGGAUAGUGGACAGUGGCCGCAAGCCUGAUCCAGCAAUGCCGCGUGAGUGAUGCAGGCCUUAGGGUUGUAAAGCUCUUUUACCCGGGAUGAUAGUGACGGUACCGGGAGAAUAAGCUCCGGCUAACUACGUG
rnacentral:rRNA from 1 species